rnacentral:rRNA from 1 species
UUUAAAUUGAGAGUUUGAUCCUGGCUCAGGACGAACGCUGGCGGCGUGCCUAACACAUGCAAGUCGAGCGAUGAAACUUCCUUCGGGAAGUGGAAUAGCGGCGGACGGGUGAGUAACACGUGGGUAACCUGCCUCAAAGAGGGGGAUAGCCUCCCGAAAGGGAGAUUAAUACCGCAUAACAUUAUUUUAUGGCAUCAUAAAAUAAUCAAAGGAGCAAUCCGCUUUGAGAUGGACCCGCGGCGCAUUAGCUAGUUGGUGAGGUAACGGCUCACCAAGGCAACGAUGCGUAGCCGACCUGAGAGGGUGAUCGGCCACAUUGGAACUGA